GACGAACGCUGGCGGCGUGCUUAACACAUGCAAGUCGAGCGAUGAAGUUCCUUCGGAAAUGGAUUAGCGGCGAACGGGUGAGGAACACGUGAAGAAUCUGCCCUCCACUUUGGGAUAACACAGGGAAACCUGUGCUAAUACCGAAUAUUGAAACAUAAGUGGCAUCACUGAGUUUUGAAAGAAUUUCGGUGGAGGAUGACUUCGCGGCCUAUCAGCUAGUUGGUGAGGUAAUGGCUCACCAAGGCAACGACGGGUAGCCGGCCUGGGAGGGCGACCGGCCACACUGGGACUGAGACACGGCCCAGACUCCUACGGGAGGCAGCAGUGGGGAAUAUUGGGCAAUGGAGGAAACUCUGACCCAGCGACGCCGCGUGCGGGAUGAAGGCCUUCGGGUUGUAAACCGCUUUCAGUAGGGAAGAAGCGAAAGUGACGGUACCUACAAAAGAAGCACCGGCUAACUAUGUGCCAGCAGCCGCCGUAA
rnacentral:rRNA from 1 species